CUACAGAGUACUUGUGUUGUGUAGUUAUGAGCAGUAGCUUUACUAAACAAAAAUGAACACAAUAAGCAACCAUUUCAAAAUUUUAAUGAGUUACAGUUCAUAAGGAAAUCAGUCAAUUUAAAUAAAUUCAUUAGGCACUCAUCUAUGGAUUUUACAUGACUGGUAAUACAGAUAUGCAGCUGUUGAUCACAUAUACCUUAAAGGUAGGGUUGCGGAUCAGAAAACCAGUCAGUAUCUGGUGUAACCACCAUUUUCCUCAUGCACCGCAACACAUCUCCUUCGCACACAGUUGAUCAGGCUGUUGAUUGUGGCCUGUGGAGCGUUGUCCCACUCUUCUUCAAUGGCUGUGUGGAGUUCGAUGCAGAGCAUCGAACAUGCUCAAUGGGUGGCAUGUCUGUGACAACACUGGGGUCUGCAGCUAGAAAUGGCCCUGUAUUUACCUGAAAAGGUAGCUCAUCCACCAUGGCAGAAGACAAAUAUCCAGAUUAUUGAUUGGGAAGAACAAACAAUGAGACAUAAGGAUUGGGUGUUGAGGGAACACUUGUUCCAUUGUCCAAGUCCAACAGGAGUGCAUCCUUCAGACCAUCCAGUGCAUGGACAUCCUGUGCUAGUGUGAUCCGAGCACGAGCGUCCAGUUUUGGAGAGACUACAGCACAUCGAGCCUGUGGGCUGAAAGAUAGAGGAAGUGUUGGCUGGCUAGCCACAUGGGACCUUUGGCAGCAGCAGACUUCUGUCCAUGGGAUGAAGACAUCCUGGUGUGCAUAUCAGAGGACCGCAUAUUUAAGGUUCCCUUGGAGAGUUCAUCAAUGAGCUUGACGCCUUGAUAAGUUCCUUUCC